rnacentral:rRNA from 1 species
AUGCACGCUGGCGGCGUGCCUAAUACAUGCCAGUCGAGCGAACAGACGAGGAGCUUGCUCCUCUGACGUUAGCGGCGGACGGGUGAGUAACACGUGGAUAACCUACCUAUAAGACUGGGAUAACUUCGGGAAACCGGAGCUAAUACCGGAUAAUAUAUUGAACCGCAUGGUUCAAUAGUGAAAGACGGUUUUGCUGUCACUUAUAGAUGGAUCCGCGCCGCAUUAGCUAGUUGGUAAGGUAACGGCUUACCGAGGCAACGAUGCGUAGCCGACCUGAGAGGGUGAUCGGCCACACUGGAACUGAGACACGGUCCAGACUCCUACGGGAGGCAGCAGUAGGGAAUCUUCCGCAAAGGGCGAAAGCCUGACGGAGCAACGCCGCGUGAGUGAUGAAGGUCUUCGGAUCGUAAAACUCUGUUAUUAGGGAAGAACAAAUGUGUAAGUAACUAUGCACGUCUUGACGGUACCUAAUCAGAAAGCCACGGCUAACUACGUG